GACGAACGCUGGCGGCGUGCUUAACACAUGCAAGUCGAACGAAGUGGCGAACGGGUGAGUAACGCGUAAUCAACCUGCCCUUCAGAGGGGGACAACAGUUGGAAACGACUGCUAAUACCGCAUACUGAAGGAGGGGAUUGCGUCUGAUUAGGUAGUUGGAGGGGUAACGGCCCACCAAGGCGAGGAUCAGUAGCCGGUCUGGCGUGAUGAACGGCCAAAUUGGGACUGGGACACGGCCCAGACUCCUACGGGAGGCAGCAUGGGGGAAACUUCCGAAAUGGAGGAAAGGCUGAAUGAGCAACGCCGCGGGAGUGAUGACGGCCUUCGGGUUGUAAAGCUCUUUUAAUCGGGACGCGGUACCGGAAUAGAAAGCCACGGCUAACUACGUGCCAGCAGCCGCGGUAAUUC
rnacentral:rRNA from 1 species